GAUGAACGCUGGCGGCGUGCCUAAUACAUGCAAGUCGAGCGAACGGACGAGAAGCUUGCUUCUCUGAUGUUAGCGGCGGACGGGUGAGUAACACGUGGAUAACCUACCUAUAAGACUGGGAUAACUUCGGGAAACCGGAGCUAAUACCGGAUAAUAUUUUGAACCGCAUGGUUCAAAAGUUAAAGACGGUCUUGCUGUCACUUAUAGAUGGAUCCGCGCUGCAUUAGCUAGUUGGUAAGGUAACGGCUUACCAAGGCAACGAUGCAUAGCCGACCUGAGAGGGUGGUCGGCCACACUGGAACUGAGACACGGUCCAGACUCCUACGGGAGGCAGCAGUAGGGAAUCUUCCGCAAUGGGCGAAAGCCUGACGGAGCAACGCCGCGUGAGUGAUGAAGGUCUUCGGAUCGUAAAACUCUGUUAUUAGGGAAGAACAUAUGUGUAAGUAACUGUGCACAUCUUGACGGUACCUAAUCAGAAAGCCACGGCUAACUACGUG
rnacentral:rRNA from 1 species